GAUGAACGCUGGCGGCGUGCCUAAUACAUGCAAGUCGAGCGAACAGACGAGGAGCUUGCUCCUCUGACGUUAGCGGCGGACGGGUGAGUAACACGUGGAUAACCUACCUAUAAGACUGGGAUAACUUCGGGAAACCGGAGCUAAUACCGGAUAAUAUAUUGAACCGCAUGGUUCAAUGGUGAAAUACGGUUUUGCUGUCUCUUAUAGAUGGAUCCGCGCCGCAUUAUCUAGUUGGUAAGGUAACGGCUUACCAAGGCAACGAUGCGUAGCCGACCUGAGAGGGGGAUCGGACACACUGGAAGGGAGACACGGUCCAGAGGACUAAGGGAGGGAGCAGUAGGGAAGCUUACGCAAUGGGCGAAAGCAUGACGGAGCAACGCGGAGUGAGAGAUGAAGGUCUUCGGAUCGUAAAACUCUGUUAUUAGGGAAGAACAAAUGUGUAAGUAACUAUGCACGUAGUGACGGUAACUAAUCAGAAAGCCACGGCUAACUACGUG
rnacentral:rRNA from 1 species